rnacentral:lncRNA from 1 species
GAUCUCGAUGCUUUACCUGAACAGCCUGAGCGUAUAGUGGGUCCAGACCUUCCGAACGCCAUUUCAUAAGCUCCAUCAAAGCAACAUGGGCCUCUUCCCUGGAAACCAGACGGGUGAUGAGCCUAUCAACAUCCUUCUCCUGUUCAUGAGUCAAGUACUUGAAUGGAGGAAGAUACUUCCCACUAGCAUCCUUCAUCAGAUAAACAGGAUCAAGAAUAAAUGCUGCAGACCAUGCUGGGUGGUAGCUCUUCU